rnacentral:rRNA from 1 species
UACGUAGGGUGCAAGCGUUGUCCGGAAUUAUUGGGCGUAAAGAGCUCGUAGGCGGUCUGUCACGUCGGCUGUGAAAACCCGAGGCUCAACCUCGGGCCUGCAGUCGAUACGGGCAAACUAGAGUACUGCAGGGGAGACUGGAAUUCCUGGUGUAGCGGUGAAAUGCGCAGAUAUCAGGAGGAACACCGGUGGCGAAGGCGGGUCUCUGGACAGUUCCUGACGGCUGAGG